ensembl:misc_RNA Y_RNA Y RNA
GGCUGCUCUGAGUGCAGUCGUGUUUACUACUAACUGCUCACACCAGUUAUAGAUUUCUUUGUUCCUUUUCCACUUCCACUGCUUCACUUGACUAGCCUUAA